GACGAACGCUGGCGGCGUGCUUAACACAUGCAAGUCGAACGGUAAGGCCCUUCGGGGUACACGAGUGGCGAACGGGUGAGUAACACGUGGGUGAUCUGCCCUGCACUUCGGGAUAAGCCUGGGAAACUGGGUCUAAUACCGGAUAGGACUCCUGGCUUCAUGGUUGGGGGUGGAAAGCUUUUGCGGUGUGGGAUGGGCCCGCGGCCUAUCAGAUUGUUGGUGGGGUAAUGGCCUACCAAGGCGACGACGGGUAGCCGGCAUGAGAGGGUGACCGGUCACACUGGGACUGAGGUACGGCCCAGGCUCAUACGGGAGGCAGCAGUGGGGAAUAUUGCACAAUGGGCGCAAGCCUGAUGCAGCGACGCCGCGUGAGGGAUGACGGCCUUCGGGUUGUAAACCUCUUUCAGCUAUGACGAAGCGCAAGUGACGGUAGUAGCAGAAGAAGGACCGGCCAACUACGUGCCAGCCGCCGCCGUAA
rnacentral:rRNA from 1 species